rnacentral:rRNA from 1 species
GGGGGAUAUUGCGCAAUGGGGGCAACCCUGACGCAGCAACGCCGCGUGAAGGAUGAAGGUUUUCGGAUUGUAAACUUCUUUUAUUAAGGACGAAACUUGACGGUACUUAAUGAAUAAGCUCCGGCUAACUACGUGCCAGCAGCCGCGGUAAUACGUAGGGAGCAGGCGUUGUCCGGAUUUACUGGGUGUAAAGGGUGCGUAGGCGGCUUUGCAAGUCAGAUGUGAAAUCUAUGGGCUCAACCCAUAAACUGCAUUUGAAACUGUAGAGCUUGAGUGAAGUAGAGGCAGGCGGAAUUCCCCGUGUAGCGGUGAAAUGCGUAGAGAUGGGGAGGAACACCAGUGGCGAAGGCGGCCUGCUGGGCUUUAACUGACGCUGAGGCACGAAAGCGUGGGUAGCAAACAGGAUUAGAUACCCUGGUAGUCCACGCUGUAAACGAUGAUUACUAGGUGUGGGGGGUCUGACCCCUUCCGUGCCGGAGUUAACACAAUAAGUAAUCCACCUGGGGAGUACGGCCGCAAGGUUGAAACUCAAAGGAAUUGACGGGGGCCCGCACAAGCAGUGGAGUAUGUGGUUUAAUUCGAAGCAACGCGAAGAACCUUACCAGGUCUUGACAUCCAACUAACGAAGUAGAGAUACAUUAGGUGCCCUUCGGGGAAAGUUGAGACAGGUGGUGCAUGGUUGUCGUCAGCUCGUGUCGUGAGAUGUUGGGUUAAGUCCCGCAACGAGCGCAACCCUUGCUAUUAGUUGCUACGCAAGAGCACUCUAAUAGGACUGCCGUUGACAAAACGGAGGAAGGUGGGGACGACGUCAAAUCAUCAUGCCCCUUAUGACCUGGGCUACACACGUACUACAAUGGAUGUUAACAGAGGGAAGCAAGACAGCGAUGUGGAGCAAACCCCUAAAAACAUUCUCAGUUCAGAUUGCAGGCUGCAACCCGCCUGCAUGAAGAUGGAAUUGCUAGUAAUCGCGGAUCAGCAUGCCGCGGUGAAUACGUUCCCG